CCUUUGACGUUAGCGGCGGACGGGUGAGUAACACGUGGGUAACCUACCUAUAAGACUGGGAUAACUUCGGGAAACCGGAGCUAAUACCGGAUAAUAUUUCGAACCGCAUGGUUCGAUAGUGAAAGAUGGUUUUGCUAUCACUUAUAGAUGGACCCGCGCCGUAUUAGCUAGUUGGUAAGGUAACGGCUUACCAAGGCGACGAUACGUAGCCGACCUGAGAGGGUAAUCGGCCACAUUGGGACUGAGACACGGCCCAG
rnacentral:rRNA from 1 species